AUUAAACGCUGGCGGCAUGCCUUACACAUGCAAGCCGAACGGCAGCACGGGGGCAACCCUGGUGGCGAGUGGCGGACGGGUGAGUAAAGCAUCGGAACGUAUCCUGGAGUGGGGGAUAACGUAGCGAAAGUUACGCUAAUACCGCAUAUUCUGUGAGCAGGAAAGCAGGGGAUCGCAAGACCUUGCGCUCUGGGAGCGGCCGAUGUCGGAUUAGCUAGUUGGUGGGUAAAGCCUACCAAGGCGACGAUCCGUAGCGGGUCUGAGAGGAUGAUCCGCCACACUGGGACUGAGACACGGCCCAGACUCCUACGGGAGGCAGCAGUGGGGAAUUUUGGACAAUGGGCGGAAGCCUGAUCCAGCCAUGCCGCGUG
rnacentral:rRNA from 1 species